rnacentral:sRNA from 1 species
CGUAUGAGUUUAAAUUCUAUUUUGUCUGUAAUAUUUAUUUUUCAAUUCUUUAUUUAUAUUGGUUUUAGUUUUUGUUUUGGUUUCCUUUCGUUUCGUUUCUGAUUUCAUGCAAAUGUUUGCAAAUUUCUCAAAUUAACGCGUAGGCGAGCUGAAUCGAGCCGAAAGAGCUGGAAGUGUCGCCGUCUCAGCACCACUAGCACCACCAGCUUCACCGCAGCCGCCUCAUCUAACGACGCGACGCCCCCACCGCUCCCCCACAGCAAGUUCAUUGAACCACCUACGAGAAAUAUGCAAAUCGUAGCUAUGGAUGCAGGGGAAAAUAAAUCAAAUGAAAUGGACUAGCAAAAACAAAAGGAAAACUAAUUUCGAUUCGAUCUUGGGGCUUUUGUCUGGUGGAGCUUGUAAGAUCUAUGCAAAAAAAUGAAAACAAAGCCAAAUUGUUGCAAUCCCAUUAAAGUGAAAUUAAUGGCUGUCGCCAGCUGCGGAA